rnacentral:tRNA from 1 species
GCCUGGGUGGCUCAGUCGGUUAAGCGGCUGACUUCGGCUCAGGUCAUGAUCUCAUGGUCUGUGAGUUCGAGCCCCACAUCGGGCU